rnacentral:piRNA from 1 species
UAGCUUACUGAUCACUAUGUGACAGAG